GUGGAAUUAAUUAGGCGGACGCUUAUCGGUUGCAAAGCAAGAUUAUUUACUCACGCCGUCAAGGUGGUGAAAGACAGAGGUCAGAUAUACUUAGUUACAGCUUAGAGUUCAUUCGGUCGUUCUGCAGACAUAUAUACGGGCCGGCGGUUUUAUCGGGCAUGCGGGUCAAGGGUACGCCAGGGAGGUCGUGGCGGGAAGACGCUGACAACUGAUCAAAUUGUCAGAUUUACUCCAAGGCCUGGAGGGGAUGAAGCAGGGAGAGGGAACCUGCCCACUGCCACUACUGCUGCCACUGUCUUGGCCUGAGCCCAGCUUUCUUGCUGCCUGGCUGGAGUGGCCCUGGAGCUCUCCUUGCCCUUGGAACAGCGAGCACUCCAGCUGGGACUUUUGUUUCCAGUUUUGAGCGCUGCACUUCAAAAAAGUUCUGGAUGAAUUACAGAGUCUGGAGGAGAGCAAUAAAAAAUGGUCAGAGAGCUAGAAAUUAAGAACUGUGCAGACCUGCAUUAUAUCUCUGGCAUCACCAACAACUUAAAAGAAAAAUUUUAUUCCAUCGUACUCUAAAUAUAGAUUUACAACCUUCAUUCUUCUAAAAAGCAACAGUAAUUAAAGAGACAGCUUCAGCGAUUUCAGUGUUUCUGUUGCAGUAAAUGUUUUUUAAGGUCUCCCUGUCUGUCCCUGUGAAGAAAAGUACCUGAGAUUUAAGUCUGCUUUCAAAUAAGUUUCCAUGUGUGUAUGCACUUGGGGAUCUGUAAGUUUGAAGAAUAAUAACUAACUGAUGACUUAUUACUUUUAAUUCCUAUUAGUUGAGUUAAAAGAGAUUGAGCUGGAUUUUAUUCUUCUUAUGCAUUAUAAAUAA